GACGAACGCUGGCGGCGUGCUUAACACAUGCAAGUCGAACGGAAAGGCCCUGCUUUUGUGGGGUGCUCGAGUGGCGAACGGGUGAGUAACACGUGAGUAACCUGCCCUUGACUUUGGGAUAACUUCAGGAAACUGGGGCUAAUACCGGAUAGGAGCUCCUGCUGCAUGGUGGGGGGUGGAAAGUUUCGGCGGUUGGGGAUGGACUCGCGGCUUAUCAGCUUGUUGGUGGGGUAGUGGCUUACCAAGGCUUUGACGGGUAGCCGGCCUGAGAGGGUGACCGGCCACAUUGGGACUGAGAUACGGCCCAGACGCCAACGGGAGGCAGCAGUGGGGAAUAUUGCACAAUGGGCGGAAGCCUGAUGCAGCAACGCCGCGUGCGGGAUGACGGCCUUCGGGUUGUAAACCGCUUUCGCCUGUGACGAAGCGUGAGUGACGGUAAUGGGUAAAGAAGCACCGGCUAACUACGUG
rnacentral:rRNA from 1 species